rnacentral:lncRNA from 1 species
AUAUUUUACAGUUUUUGUCAUCUGGGGAGUCAUUGGUACAUUUGUAAGUGUAGGCCUUUUGGUAUAUGUGAUAUGUCAUCAUAAGAGGAACUAUAGCUAUACACCUAUCCUAGGCAGUGAUUCUCCCACUACAAUACCUAUGGUGGUAUUUAAUCCAACACCCACCUCCUCUCCACAUACACCCAAACCAAAGCCUGUGUCACCCUCUACCCCAGAAAGAGGUGGUGAUUAAGAAGACAGUUUUUCAGAGUUGGAUGAUGA